rnacentral:lncRNA from 1 species
GCUGAUGUGUCACCACCAUAGCAUUGCAUAAGUGUAUCACACAUCGCCUUUGUCGAUGUCGAAUCACCAAUAUUCUAAAACACCUUUGUAUGUACACAUUGAUGGACUGCCUUCUGAUCCUUCUUCCUUGUUUGAUGUUGCAUAUUUUUUUGCACUUCUGUUGCAUUUUCGGCAACUGACAUGUAACCUUCAUUGACGAGAUAAAGAACAUCUUGAGCGCCAAACAACACAUGCAUCUAAAUCGAACACUAAUUCCAAUUUUUUCCAAUACUAUAAGCUUUGCAUUCAAGAUAC